AUGCGUUGGCAGGCCAUGGACUCAACGUCCCCCACCUCCCCACAAAUCGUUAAUCUCCUCCCUCUAUCCACUUCUUCCUUGAUUGUCUAUACUUCUCCACAUCACACGGCCAAACUUGUGGAAAAAAGGGGGGCGAGACAACUUUAUCUCCUUGCAGACCUCCCUAAAAAAAUCUCACUUCGGGCCGCCACCACAAAUCCUCAAUCGAUCUCACCUGAUCCACCGCCGCCGCCACAAAUCCUCCAUCGUUCUCACCUGAUUUCCCUGCGCCGCCGUUGGCUUGGCGCACAUCUAGGUUUCCCCACUUGA
rnacentral:rRNA from 1 species